rnacentral:rRNA from 1 species
CCUACGGGCGGCUGCAGUGAGGAAUAUUGGUCAAUGGGCGGGAGCCUGAACCAGCCAAGCCGCGUGAAGGAAGAAGGCGCCAAGCGUCGUAAACUUCUUUUGUCGGGGAACAAAGGGCGCCACGUGUGGCGUUGUGAGUGUACCCGAAGAAAAAGCAUCGGCUAACUCCGUGCCAGCAGCCGCGGUAAUACGGAGGAUGCGAGCGUUAUCCGGAGUUAUUGGGUGAAAAGUGUGCGUAGGCGGUCCUGAAAGUCAGCGGUAAAAGCCCGGGGCUCAACCCCGGCGAGCCGUUGAAACUGUCGGACUAGAGACGGCGAGAGGUACGCGGAAUGCGCGGUGUAGCGGUGAAAUGCGUAGAUAUCGGGAAGAACACCGAUUGCGAAGGCAGCGUACCGGCGCCGGACUGACGCUGAGGCACGAAAGCGUGGGUAUCGAACAGGAUUAGAUACCCUAGUAGUC